UAGCUCAGUCGGUAAAGAAUCUGCCUGCAAUGCAGGAGACCCGGGUUCAAUCCCUGG
rnacentral:tRNA from 1 species